rnacentral:rRNA from 1 species
AACGAACGCUGGCGGCAUGCCUAACACAUGCAAGUAGAACGAGACCUUCGUGUCUAGUUGCGCACCGGUGCUUAACGCGUGGUAACCUGCCCUUAGGUUCGGAAUACCUCCCCGAAAGAGGUGCUAAUACCGGAUAAUGUCUUCGGACCAAAGAUUUCUCGCCUUUUGUUGGGCCCGCGUUGGAUUAGCUAGUUGGUAGGGUAAAAGCCUACCAAGGCGACGAUCCAUAGCUGGUCUGAGAGGAGGAUCAGCCACACUGGGACUGAGACAAGGCCCAGACGCCUACGGGAGGCAGCAGUGGGGAAUAAUGGACAAUGGGCGAAAGCCUGAUCCAGCAAUGCCGCGUGAGUGAUGAAGGCCUUAGGGAUGUAAAGCUCUUUUACCCGGGAGGAUAAUGACAGUACCGGGAGAAUAAGCCCCGGCUAACUCCGU